rnacentral:lncRNA from 1 species
CUUACUUUUCCUUUUUCUUUUCUUGGAGACAGGGUCUCACUCUGUUGCCCAGGCUGGAGUGAAAUGGCACCAUCUUGGCUCACUGCAACCUCCACCUCCUGGGAGUAGCUGGAGCUACAGUCACACAGCACCACACCUGGAUAAUUUUUGCAUUUAUUUAUUUAUUUAUUUAUUUAUUUUAGCAGAGACAGGAUUUCAGGCUGGUCCCGAACUCUGGACCUCAAAUGAUCUGCCCACCUCGGCCUCAAAAAGUGUUAGGAUUACAGGUGUGAGCCACUGCACCUGGACAUAGCUUACUUUUUAGAUGUAAACAAAUUGGAAACAAAUGAGUCCAAAUUAACUGAUUAUACAAAUAUACAUAUGAAUCAAAUAAACUUGAAAGUAUUUUAAACCUA